UUUUUCUUUUAUAUCGAGUCGAACCUGCCCAGUGAUUUUUAUUUAACGGCCGCAGUACUCUGACUGUGCAAAGGUAGCAUAAUCAUUUGCCUUAUAAUUAAAGGCUAGUAUGAAUGGUUUGACAAGAAUAACGCUGUCUCUUAUAGAUUUCAUAGAAUUUGGUUUUUAGGUGAAGAAACCUAGAUAUAAUUAAAAGACAAGAAGACCCUAUCGAGCUUAAAAUAAUUUUUUUGGUAUAGUAAUAAUACCCUACUCAAAAAAAAAUUUUAGUUGGGGCGACUAAGGAACACAAAAAGCUUCCUGUAAACUAUAGCUACUAAUAAGUAUUGAUCCAAAAAGUUUGAUUAACAGAAUUAGUUACCGUAGGGAUAACAGCAUAAUCUUUUCUAAGAGUCCUUAUCGAAGAAAAGGUUUGUGACCUCGAUGUUGGACUAGGGUGCCCAGACAGGUGCAGAAGCCUUCAAUGGUUGGUCUGUUCGACCA
rnacentral:rRNA from 1 species